rnacentral:rRNA from 1 species
AACGAACGCUGGCGGCGGGCCUAACACAUGCAAGUCGAGCGCGCCAUUCGGGUUGAGCGGCGGACGGGUGAGAAAGGCGUGAGAACGUGCCCUUUUCUACGGAAUAGCCUCGCGAAACUGAGGGUAAUACCGUAUACGCCCUUCGGGGGCGAGAUUUAUCGGAAAAGGAUCGGCCCGCGUUGGGUUAGGUAGUUGGUGGGGUGAUGGACGACCAAGCCGCCGAUCCAUAGCUGGUUUGGGAGGAUGCUCAGCCACGCCGGGACGGGGACACGGCCCAGACUCCUACGGGACGCAGCAGUGGGGACUCUUAGACAAUGGGGGCAACCCGGAUCUAGCCAUGCCGCGUGAGAGACGCAGGCGUUAGGGUUGCAAAGCUCUUUCGGCUGGGAAUAUAAUGACGGUACCAGCAGAAGAAGCCCCGGCUAACUCCGUG